rnacentral:rRNA from 1 species
UAGGGAAUCUUCCACAAUGGGCGAAAGCCUGAUGGAGCAACGCCGCGUGUGUGAUGAAGGGUUUCGGCUACGUAAAACACUGUUGUAAGAGAAGAAUGACAUUGAGAGUAACUGUUCAAUGUGUGACGGUAUCUUACCAGAAAGGAACGGCUAAAUACGUGCCAA